rnacentral:rRNA from 1 species
GCCUAACCGUAAAAUUUAACCCACACCAACAAACGCCAGGGUACUACGAGCCUUAGCUUAAAACCCAAAGGACUUGACGGUAUCCCACCCAACUAGAGGAGCCUGUUCUAUAAUCGAUGAUCCACGAUACACCAAACCAUUUCUCGCCAUUCAGCCUGUAUACCUCCGUCGAAAGCUUACCGUAUGAACGCACACAAGUAGGCCAAAGGACUCUAACGUCACAACGUCAGGUCAAGGUGCAGCUAAUGAAAUGGAAGCAAUGGGCUACAAUUUCUAAAUUAGAACAAACGAAAUACUACAUGAAACAUAGUCAUGAAGGAGGAUUUAGCAGUAAGUAGGAAAUAGAGAGUCCUACUAAACAUGGCCCUGGGAUGUGUACAAACCGCCCGUCACCCUCUUCGAUAGUUUCAAUAUAGUUUAUAACACACCAAUACGCCUUAGAAGAGGCAAGUCGUAACAUGGUAAGUAUACUGGAAAGUGUACUUGGAAUAACAAAAUGUAGCUUAACUAAAGCCCUUCGCUUACACCGAGAAAAUAUCUGUGAAACUCAGAUCAUUUUGAGUCCAAAAUCUAGCCUAAAAACAUUGUAUAUCACUGCCAACUAACUUUAUUAAAAUAAAACAUUUUACCUUUAUAGUAGAGGCGAUCAAAAAAUAAUUAAGAGCUUCAGAAAUAGUACCGCAAGGGAAAUAUGAAAUAAAAAUGAAAUAAAUCUUAAACAAAUUAAAGCAGAGAUUUUUUCUCG